rnacentral:rRNA from 1 species
UACGUAGGGUGCGAGCGUUGUCCGGAAUUAUUGGGCGUAAAGAGCUCGUAGGCGGUCUGUCGCGUCGAUCGUGAAAACUUGGGGCUUAACCCUGAGCUUGCGGUCGAUACGGGCAUGACUGGAGUUCGGCAGGGGAGACUGGAAUUCCUGGUGUAGCGGUGAAAUGCGCAGAUAUCAGGAGGAACACCAAUGGCGAAGGCGGCAUCCUGGACCAAUAUUGACGCUGAGGAGCGAAAGCCAGGGGAGCAAACGGG